rnacentral:rRNA from 1 species
GCAGCAGGCGCGAAACUUACCCACUCGAGACUUUCGGAGGAGGUAAUGACCAGUUUCAUGUGAAGCUUAUGCUUCUGUGAAUAGGAUCACACUUUUCCAGUGUGGUGAAACCUAGCAGAGGGCCAGUCUGGUGCCAGCAGCUGCGGUAAUUCCAGCUCUGCGAGUUUGCUCCCAUAUUGUUGCAGUUAAAACGCCCGUAGUCGGAAUUGGACAGCAAUGUCCCUACGUUUCAACGUUCACUGUGAACAAAUCAGGACGCUUAGAGUAUGGUAACAAGAAUGACUCAGCGCAGUAUGAAGUCUUUGUUUCUUUCGGGAAACAAGCUCAAUGAGAGCCAUCGGGGGUGGAUCUAUUUCAUGGCGAGUGGUGGAAUACUUUGACCCAUGAGAGAGACACGGAGGCGAAGGCGUCCACCUAGAGGGUUUCUGUCGAUCAAGGGCGAGAGUAGGAGUAUCCAACCGGAUUAGAGACCCGGGUAGUUCCUACUGUAAACGAUGCCGACAGAGGUUUGUCAUUUUAUAAUGGCAGAACUUUUAGAGAAAUCAUAGUUCUUGGGCUCUGGGGGAACUACGACCGCAAGGCUGAAACUUGAAGGAAUUGACGGAAGGGCACACCAGGGGUGGAGCCUGUGGCUUAAUUUGAAUCAACACGGGGAAACUUACCAGGACCAGAUGUUUUUUAUGACUGACAGGCUUCGGGUCUUUCAGGAUAUCGCUUUUGGUGGUGCAUGGCCGUUGGUGGUGCGUGGGUUGACCUGUCUAGCGUUGAUUCAGCUAACGAGCGAGAUUAUCGCCAAUUAUAUACCUCGCAUUGGCUUCAGUGUUGAGGUUCUAAUUGGGACUCCCUGCGAUUUUAGCAGGCGGAAGAGGGUAGCAAUAACAGGUCCGUGAUGUCC